GUACACUCCUACGGGAGGCAGCAGUGGGGAAUAUUGCACAAUGGGCGCAAGCCUGAUGCAGCCAUGCCGCGUGUAUGAAGAAGGCCUUCGGGUUGUAAAGUACUUUCAGCGGGGAGGAAGGCGAUAAGGUUAAUAACCUUGUUGAUUGACGUUACCCGCAGAAGAAGCACCGGCUAACUCCGUGCCAGCAGCCGCGGUAAUACGGAGGGUGCAAGCGUUAAUCGGAAUUACUGGGCGUAAAGCGCACGCAGGCGGUCUGUCAAGUCGGAUGUGAAAUCCCCGGGCUCAACCUGGGAACUGCAUUCGAAACUGGCAGGCUAGAGUCUUGUAGAGGGGGGUAGAAUUCCAGGUGUAGCGGUGAAAUGCGUAGAGAUCUGGAGGAAUACCGGUGGCGAAGGCGGCCCCCUGGACAAAGACUGACGCUCAGGUGCGAAAGCGUGGGGAGCAAACAGGAUUAGAAACCCCUGUAGUCCCAUGAU
rnacentral:rRNA from 1 species